rnacentral:ncRNA from 1 species
AACAAUGUGAUGAAAAGAUAAGUAACUUGUCCCUUCUUGAUACAGAGAGCCCACGGUCGGUGAGAGUGAGCCUGGAAGCCAAGCGAAAAUGGUCUUGGAGCAUUCACUCGAUGAGCCUCGGUAAGUUGAGUGCGGGUUCUCCCGUUAUAGAGGCGGAGUCUGACUAGCCCCAAGUGGUGAAAGUACUCCCAGAGGGAAUAUUAGUGAUAAUAUUCUAAAAAAAGGUGGUACCAUGGAAUUCGACUUCCAUCCUUUAU